CUCCCGGCACGGGGAGGUAGUGACGAAAAAUAACGAUACGGGACUCAUCCGAGGCCCCGUAAUCGGAAUGAGUACACUUUAAAUCCUUUAACAAUUAGCAAUUGGAGGGCAAGUCUGGUGCCAGCAGCCGCGGUAAUUCCAGCUCCAAUAGCGUAUAU
rnacentral:rRNA from 2 species